GACGAACGCUGGCGGCGUGCCUAAUACAUGCAAGUCGAACGCAGUGGGGACGGGUGAUUAACACGUGGGUAACCUCCCAUCAGAGGGGAUAACCCUUGGAAACAGGUGCUAAACCGAUACUGAUGGAUGGAGCAGCGGUGCAUUAGCUAGUCGGUGAGGUAACGGCUCACCAAGGCCACGAUGCAUAGCUGGCCUGAGAGGAUGAUCAGCCACACUGGGACUGAGACACGGCCCAGACUCCUACGGGAGGCAGCAGUGGGGAAUCUUGGACAAUGGGCGAAAGUCUGACCCAGCCACGCCGCGUGUGUGAAGAAGGUCUUCGGAUCGUAAAGCUCUGUUGUUAGGGAGGCGGUAUCUAAACAAAAAGCCACGGCUAACUACGUGCCAGCAGCCGCGGUAAUUC
rnacentral:rRNA from 1 species